GCAGAACCUAAAGGUCCAUAUGGGCAGCAUGCAUACACAGGAAAGUCUACAGUUUGGUACCCCAGGACUCGCUGGUCAGGAAAGCCCUGCAGGACAUGAGUGUUAGGCCCGACGCCUGGCCCUUGGCAGCUUGGGAGGUGGCUGGGGCUGCUUUUGCCUUUGCCAGAGACAGCUCCAACUGAGGACCUCUCCAACGGGCCCAUCC
rnacentral:lncRNA from 1 species